GUGCUUGCUUCAGCAGCACAUAUACUAAAAUUGUAAUGAUACAGAGAAGAUUACCAUGGCCCCUGCACAAGGAUGACACACAAAUUUUGUGAAGCAUUCCAUAUUUUU
ensembl:snRNA U6 U6 spliceosomal RNA